rnacentral:rRNA from 1 species
CGAUAGCGUAUAUUUAAGUUGUUGCAGUUAAAACGCUCGUAGUUGGAUUUCUGGUGGGAGCGAUCGGUCUGGCGCUUAGCGCGAGUACUUGCAUCGUCUCCGGCCAUCCUUGGGGAGAGUCUGUCUGGCAUUAGGUUGUCGGGCAGAGGAUCCUCAUCGUUUACUGUGAAAAAAUUAGAGUGUUCAAAGCAGGCUUAUGCCGUUGAAUAUAUUAGCAUGGAAUAAUAAGAUAGGACUUUGGUACUAUUUUGUUGGUUUGCGCACCAAAGUAAUGAUUAAUAGGGACAGUUGGGGGUAUUCGUAUUCCGUUGUCAGAGGUGAAAUUCUUGGAUUUACGGAAGACGAACUACUGCGAAAGCAUUUACCAAGGAUGUUUUCAUUAA